CAGGACAGAGUCAGAGAGAAACAGGAGGGUGAGGAGUCACACAGGACAGAGUCAGAGAGAAACAGGAGGGUGAGGAGUCACAGGACAGAGUCAGAGAGAAACAGGAGGGUGAGGAGUCACAGGACAGAGUCAGAGAGAAACAGGAGGGUGAGGAGUCACAGGACAGAGUCAGAGAGAAACAGGAGGGUGAGGAGUCACACAGGACAGAGUCAGAGAGAAACAGGAGGGUGAGGAGUCACACAGGACAGAGUCAGAGAGAAACAGGAGGGUGAGGAGUCACAGGACAGAGUCAGAGAGAAACAGGAGGGUGAGGAGUCACAGGACAGAGUCAGAGAGAAACAGGAGGGUGAGGAGUCAAACAGGACAGAGUCAGAGAGAAACAGGAGGGUGAGGAGUCAAACAGGACAGAGUCAGAGAGAAACAGGAGGGUGAGGAGUCAAACAGGACAGAGUCAGAGAGAAACAGGAGGGUGAGGAGUCAAACAGGACAGAGUCAGAGAGAAACAGGAGGGUGAGGAGAGUCACAGGACAGAGUCAGAGAGAAACAGGAGGGUGAGGAGUCAAACAGGACAGAGUCAGAGAGAAACAGAGAGAAACAGGAGGGUGAGGAGUCACAGGACAGAGUCAGAGAGAAACAGGAGGGUGAGGAGUCACAGGACAGAGUCAGAGAGAAACAGGAGGGUGAGGAGUCAAACAGAGAGAAACAGGAGGGUGAGGAGUCACACAGGACAGAGUCAGAGAGAAACAGGAGGGUGAGGAGUCAAACAGGUAGAAACAGGAGGGUGAGGAGUCACAGGACAGUCAGAGAGAAACAGGACAGAGUCAGAGAGAAACAGGAGGGUGAGGAGUCAAACAGAGAGAAACAGGAGGGUGAGGAGUCACACAGGACAGAGUCAGAGAGAAACAGGAGGGUGAGGAGUCAAACAGGUAGAAACAGGAGGGUGAGGAGUCACAGGACAGUCAGAGAGAAACAGGACAGAGUCAGAGAGAAACAGGAGGGUGAGGAGUCAAACAGGACAGAGUCAGAGAGAAACAGGAGGGUGAGGAGUCAAACAGGACAGAGUCAGAGAGAAACAGGAGGGUGAGGAGUCAAACAGGACAGAGUCAGAGAGAAACAGGAGGGUGAGGAGUCAAACAGGACAGAGUCAGAGAGAAACAGGAGGGUGAGGAGUCAAACAGGACAGAGUCAGAGAGAAACAGGAGGGUGAGGAGUCAAACAGGACAGAGUCAGAGAGAAACAGGAGGGUGAGGAGUCAAACAGGACAGAGUCAGAGAGAAACAGGAGGGUGAGGAGUCAAACAGGACAGAGUCAGAGAGAAACAGGAGGGUGAGGAGUCACAGGACAGAGUCAGAGAGAAACAGGAGGGUGAGGAGUCACAGGACAGAGUCAGAGAGAAACAGGAGGGUGAGGAGUCACAGGACAGAGUCAG